UUGAUUCUCUUAUCCAACUGUAAAUCCGAAACCCUAAUAUUCCUUGUACCACAUUCCUAAUCAACUAGGCUUGAGCCCGAAAAACAAAAACAAAAAAAACAGUAGGAAUGUGGUUCAAGGAAAAUUAGUGUUUGGAUUUAUAGUUGGAUAAGAGAAUCAA